rnacentral:lncRNA from 1 species
GGUUACUGUUCUUUAGUUAUGUCGUUCUUAUAAUUUUUCUGAUUUUUUGAUAGAAAGUGUUUUUUCUGUGCACUAUUUGAGUUUAUUCUGUUCCUUAAGGCCCCUUUAAUCUCCCGAAAAUGAAUAUUAAUAAUACAAACAAUACAAACCAUCUAAAAGAAGAGACCUGGGUCCUGGGUCACCCCUUGUAUAAUCCUGACGUUUGGCCAUCAUUCUGAUUUACAAGGUGGUCUUCCAUUAUCUGAUUAAAAAUUUUCCUCAACUAAUCGAUGGAUGUAUACAGUUCCAGGGCAGUACAUUUAUCCUUGUCACAAAUAUUACCAACAAUACAUCAGGACUUGUAAGUAUAUCUAAAAUUGUAUCAGUGGAUUUCAUGAUUUCUAUAGUUAAAAAAGUAGGAAAAAAAUAUCAGUGAGUCUCUGGGUUACAUUUUUAUGGUUCCUUAUUAUUAUUUAGACCAACUAUUUUUAAUUUGAGCCAAUUUUUGCCUUUUGGUCACUUAAAUUCUUUUUCUUUUUGGUAUGAUACCAUCUAACUUAGAAUUUAACUUCAUUAUGUUUAUGAUUAACUUAUUUAUACAAGUUAUUUAUUUAUAAUUGCUUGCCUCCUAUAUUUUUCUGUUUCUGCUAUUCCAGUGACUUUUUUUUCUAUAGAUCUUAUUUAUUUGGUAAAAUGUACCCUGUACUUAGAAUUUUACUUCAUUUUGUUUAUGGUAUAGUUAACUUUCAUUUUUCUAUAAUAGCUUGAUUCGCAUAUUUUCUUCAUUGUGGGAAUAAUCGCAUCAUUUACCAAUUCUAUAAAAUGUUUCAUAAACUGUGGUGUCAUUCUUCUAAUACUUUUUUUAUACUAAUGGGGAAUUUCUUGUACUGAAUUUUAUUUUUGUUGGAUUCAUUUUCAUGUCAUUUUUCUCAGACCAUAUGCCAUGAAUUGCUAUAAUUUUACGUAUUUUGGUGGUUUGGUUUGCCUGGGUUUAAAUAGAAUUGAAACACACGAUUUCACACUUAGAAAUUUCUCGAUAAGCGCUAAUUUUCGAACGAUUCCUGGCGCAUUCGCCAUUUGUUCAAAAACUGAUUCGUCCACAUGUUUCCUGGCUUUUCUAGCAUUUCUUCCAAUGAUAUUUCCUGAGUAACAUCGACUCCAGAGCAUCAUAGCUAGCCUCCCCUAAGAGGAGGAGACCCGGGUCACCCCCUAACCCUGAUGUUCGGCCAUCGAUGACCUAUGUAGCAUGCAUAGGUACCCAAGGGAGUCACCACCCUCUGGUUUACGAGCUAGGUGUUCUAACGCUUCGGCCGGAUACGACCUGGCACCCAAGCUACGAGACUUCUUCGUGCCCGUAUCCCGUGACGUCUCGACAGUAGAGGGGGCGGGAUAUUGGACACAUUGAAGAUGAUGAGGGGGGUCCGCCUGUAGGGGGUCCCGGUGGAUGUCCGCUCGAUGGGUGACGAGGGUGACCCGAGACGAGGCUGCUUAGCUGGGAUGGGAACUGCCUGGUGGGGCUUAAUCGUCGGACAAGGGUUAAAUCUGAUGAAGGGAGGCGAACUUAGAUGCUCUGGAGGAUUUUUCUUUUUGUGUUUGAUGUCAAAUGAAUUUUCCAUUUCUUAUUGACCACAUACUUCUUUAUUUUUUUCUCUUGCUUUUGGUCUACCUCUAUUUCACUAUUUUUGUAUCCCAUAUUUUCUUUAUUAUUGGAAUAUCAUCAUUCAUCAAUUCUAUAAACCCUUUUAAUAAUUGUCUUAUAUAUUUGUAUUUUUUUAUCAUUCCUCUGACACUUUUCUAUGAUAUAUUUUAUCAUUUCUAUAUAUAGAGUUAUAGCAUUUCAUUCAUUUUCAUUUCCAUUUUUUACUAAUUUAUACCCCAUUUUCAUGCCAUUUUUUCAGUUCAUCAUAUCUAUAUUUCACCAUUUGUUUCCAUAUUUUCUUCCUUAUGGAAAUGUCAUCGUUCAUCAGUUCUAUAAACUUUUCAAUUGGUUGUAUUUCUAAAUCAUCUAAUAUGUAUAUAAUUAUAUAAUUUUUUUCUGUCAUUCUUCUGAGACUUUUAUAAGUUCAUUACACAUUUUCAUGCCAUUUUUUCCAAUUCCACAUACCACUAUUUCUUUGUUUGUGUCUCAUAUUUUCUCCAUUCUUUGAAAUCUAUUAAUUUAUGUAUACCUGAGUUAUCAGUCAUCAUUUACUUGUAUCAUUUAUUUUUGUAUUGUGCCAUUCUAUGUCAAGACUUGUCUAAGGCAUUUUAUUUCUAUUGUCUCUAUAGAGAAUUUAUCAUACCUCCCAUACAGUGUAAAACUUGCAUAUGUUAUUUUUUUAAAUGUAAUUUAUUGUAUCUCAUCUAUAUUGAUUGUAUUUCUAAAUCUCUUCUUUUAUUUGUGUUAUUGUUUAAUUUACUGCUAUUCAAUCUAAGACUUGCAAGUCUUUGAUUUCAUUUCUAUUGAUACCCACAUAGAAUUUUGUAGUUUAGGAUUCAUUUUCUAAUUUAUUUUCUUUUAUCUCCAUCCUUUUCAAACUGAAUGUUUGAUGGGGAUCUUGUACUGCUUUGGAACAAGGAUUUUUGGACAAGGACAGCAGGCACUUGAGUUCAACCACCCUCUUCGAGAUGUCAUUAGACUGAUUAAAUUCAACAUUCAACAGUGGACUGAGAAUGUUGAAGUUCAUCAUUGACGAUGCUAAAUAAUUUUAGAACCAAGGCUUUCCAGAAAUGUUGCAGAAGAUUUAUUAACUUUCAUCUAGACAUCAGCAUGUCCGCCAUCAACUUGGAUUUCAAUAUACUUUUACCUUUGUUAAAAUGUAAUACGUUAAAAAAUGUAAUAAGCGAUAACAAAAAAAAUAUAUUUUACUGUAGAUAUUUAUUAGUUAAUAAGUUCAAAAUAAUAUUUAUAGUUAGGAAAUAUAUUUAGUGUAAGAAUAUGUUUUAGUCUAGUUGAUAUAAUUAGAUAUGAAAAUCAAAUAUGUAAACAUAUACCGUAUGAUCGAAAAAAAACUGCGUCCAGUUGGCUUGGAAAUGAGGAUCGAUGACAUUCCUCAUAUAAUUUUAGAUAUAAAAUGACAGCGAUCUUUAUUUCAUAGCCAUCGCUGACGCCGUUUUUAUUCGAUCGUAUGGCACUACCUUGUUAAUGAAAAAACCUUGAGCUGGUGUGUUGAACAAUUAAUAACACACUUGUAUCUCAAUUUUAGUUAAGAUAUUUAUCCUUAACACGGCAGUAUAUUAUAGUGGUGUAAAGAAAUUCAUAUAGCUUUAUAAGUUAUAUAAAUAUACAUUUUUUAAUUAAUAAGAUCCAUAGUUUAUAACUUAUUGUGUAUAAUUAGAAUAGAGAAUAUAAAUAAAAGUAUUAGAAUUUA